CCUACGGGAGGCAGCAGUGAGGAAUAUUGGUCAAUGGGCGCGAGCCUGAACCAGCCAAGCAGCGUGAAGGAUGACUGCCCUACGGGUUGUAAACUUCUUUUAUAAAGGAGUAAAGUGGGGAACGUGUGUUUUUUUGUAUGUACUUUAUGAAUAAGGAUCGGCUAACUCCGUGCCAGCAGCCGCGGUAAUACGGAGGAUCCGAGCGUUAUCCGGAUUUAUUGGGUUUAAGGGGAGCGUAGAUGGGUUGUUAAGUCAGAUGUGAAAGGUUGCGGCUCAACCGUAAAAGUGCAAUUGAUACUGGCAGUCUUGAGUGCAGUUGAGGUAGGCGGAAUUCGUGGUGUAGCGGUGAAAUGCUUAGAUAUCACGAAGAACACCGAUUGCGAAGGCAGCUUACUAAUCUGCAACUGACGUUGAUGCUCGAAAGUGUGGGUAGCAAACAGGAUUAGAUACCCGAGUAGUC
rnacentral:rRNA from 1 species